rnacentral:rRNA from 1 species
UGUGAAUUGCAGAACACAUUGAACAUCGACACCUUGAACGCACAUGGCGGCUUCGGGUUUACCCCGGGGCCACGCCCGUCUGAGGGUCGGUUGGCUAAAGCGAUCGCUACCUUGUCCGUAAAUUUUUUUUUUGUCCGGUCUCUAUCAUUUCUCGGGCUCUCGCGAGAUYGUGCAUGAGACUGGUACAUCAAAAUAAUUUUGGUAGCGCAUUGGGCCUUCGUGAAUAGCGUACGGUUAGCGCCCUUGCUCUCUGCGCUUCGUCGCAUGUUCUCGUGGCUUUAAGUACAGGAUGCGCCGUCGUCCUAUCUGUCCWACGAGAUGCUGCUCGCCUCGUCGGUGGUCUCUCGCUGCGCGACAGGUACCCGGCUCGUGCUUUAAAAGCGAGCUGUACGGACCUGGGACGCGCGUGAAAUGUUCGGGAGAUGGGCCGCAUAGCAGCGAUUCGUUCGGACUUACGGCGUCCGUCUUACACAUUAAUUUGUGUGGCGUGAAACAUUUUUUAUCCGACCUCAGAUCGGACGAGAUUACCCGCUGAAUUUAAGCAUAUUACUAAGCGGAGGAAAAGAAACUAACAAGGAUU